rnacentral:rRNA from 1 species
AACGAACGCUGGCGGCAUGCCUAACACAUGCAAGUCGAACGAUACCUUCGGGUCUAGUGGCGCACGGGUGCGUAACGCGUGGGAACCUGCCCUUAGGUUCGGAAUAACUCCCCGAAAGGGGUGCUAAUACCGGAUAAUUUCUUCGGACCAAAGAUUUAUCGCCUUUGGAUGGGCCCGCGUUGGAUUAGCUAGUUGGUAGGGUAAAAGCCUACCAAGGCGACGAUCCAUAGCUGGUCUGAGAGGAUGAUCAGCCACACUGGGACUGAGACACGGCCCAGACUCCUACGGGAGGCAGCAGUGGGGAAUAUUGGACAAUGGGCGAAAGCCUGAUCCAGCAAUGCCGCGUGAGUGAUGAAGGCCUUAGGGUUGUAAAGCUCUUUUACCCGGGAUGAUAAUGACAGUACCGGGAGAAUAAGCUCCGGCUAACUCCGUG